rnacentral:rRNA from 1 species
GUACACUCCUGCGGGAGGCAGCAGUGGGGAAUAUUGGACAAUGGGCGCAAGCCUGAUCCAGCCAUGCCGCGUGAGUGAUGAAGGCCCUAGGGUUGUAAAGCUCUUUCACCGGUGAAGAUAAUGACGGUAACCGGAGAAGAAGCCCCGGCUAACUUCGUGCCAGCAGCCGCGGUAAUACGAAGGGGGCUAGCGUUGUUCGGAUUUACUGGGCGUAAAGCGCACGUAGGCGGACUAUUAAGUCAGGGGUGAAAUCCCGGGGCUCAACCCCGGAACUGCCUUUGAUACUGGUAGUCUUGAGUUCGAGAGAGGUGAGUGGAAUUCCGAGUGUAGAGGUGAAAUUCGUAGAUAUUCGGAGGAACACCAGUGGCGAAGGCGGCUCACUGGCUCGAUACUGACGCUGAGGUGCGAAAGCGUGGGGAGCAAACAGGAUUAGAAACCCGAGUAGUCCCAU